UACGGAGGGGGCUAGCGUUGUUCGGAAUUACUGGGCGUAAAGCGCGCGUAGGCGGCUUUGCAAGUCAGAGGUGAAAGCCCGGGGCUCAACCCCGGAAUUGCCUUUGAGACUGCAUCGCUAGAAUUGUGGAGAGGUAAGUGGAAUUCCGAGUGUAGAGGUGAAAUUCGUAGAUAUUCGGAAGAACACCAGUGGCGAAGGCGACUUACUGGACACAUAUUGACGCUGAGGCGCGAAAGCGUGGGGAGCAAACAGG
rnacentral:rRNA from 1 species